AAUACACUCAGCCUCUCGUUGGCACCAGGGACACUGAUGUUUUGUGUGUGUGUGUGUGUGUCUGUGAGCACGUGUGUGGAAGAGAACAGAGAAGUCCUGUAUAGUGUAACAGGUGAGUGAGAGGCGCCUGCAGUGGAUUCCCCAGGACACUACAGGACAGACCAGACAGACAGGCAGCACCACUCAACACACUGGCUGCAUAGCCUACAUAGUGAGACACAUGGAUCAAACACCAUACUGAGGUCGCUAAUGAAUGAAGUAUCACAUCACCUUAAACAAUCACCUGAAGAGUUGCAUCGUUUCAUUACUUUGUAAUGGGGUCAUUUAGUUCAGAUAAACUCCACAACUCUAACCAGUCCCUUAACAGUAGAAGUGUGAUAGAGUCUGACAGAGAGAGCAGUUGAGGUGGGGAGGACCGUAGAGCAGUUGAGGUGGGGAGGACCGUAGAGCAGUUGAGGUGGGGAGGACCGUAGAGCAGUUGAGGUGGGGAGGACCGUAGAGCAGUUGAGGUGGGGAGGACCGUAGAGCAGUUGAGGUGGGGAGGCUGUUCAUAUCAACAGGCGGUCAGGUGUUUUUUUCUUCUUAACAUUCCCACAAUGUUAAUCUGCCCUGGAACGUACCGGCCACUGGAUAGGAGGUGUUAGUGGGAACGUACGGGCCACUGGAUAGGAGGUGUUAGUGGGAACGUACCGGCCACUAGAUAGGAGGUGUUAGUGGGAACGUACCGGCCACUGGAUAGGAGGUGUUAGUGGGAAAGUACCGGCCACUGGAUAGGAGGUGUUAGUGGGAACGUACCGGCCACUGGAUAGGAGGUGUUAGUGGGAACGUACCGGCCACUGGAUAGGAGGUGUUAGUGGGAACGUACCGGCCACUGGAUAGGAGGUGUUAGUGGGAACGUACCGGCCACUGGAUAGGAGGAGUGAGUGGGAACGUGCCGGCCACUGGAUAGGAGGAGUGAGUGGGAACGUGCCGGCCACUGGAUAGGAGGAGUGAGUGGGAACGUACCGGCCACUGGAUAGGAGGAGUGACGGGGAACGUGCCGGCCACUGGAUAGGAGGUGUGAGGGGGAACGUACCGGCCACUGCAUAGGAGGUGUUAGUGGGAACGUACCGGCCACUGGAUAGGAGGAGUGAGUGGGAACGUACCGGCCACUGGAUAGGAGGUGUUAGUGGGAACGUACCGGCCACUGGAUAGGAGGUGUUAGUGGGAACGUACCGGCCACUGGAUAGGAGGAGUGAGGGGGAACGUGCCGGCCACUGGAUAGGAGGAGUGAGGGGGAACGUGCCGGCCACUGGAUAGGAGGUGUUAGUGGGAACGUGCCGGCCACUGGAUAGGAGGUGUUAGUGGGAACGUGCCGGCCACUGGAUAGGAGGACUGAGUGGGAACGUGCCGGCCACUGGAUAGGAGGAGUGAGUGGGAACGUACCGGCCACUGGAUAGGAGGAGUGACGGGGAACGUGCCGGCCACUGGAUAGGAGGUGUGAGGGGGAACGUACCGGCCACUGCAUAGGAGGUGUUAGUGGGAACGUACCGGCCACUGGAUAGGAGGAGUGAGUGGGAACGUGCCUGCCACUGGAUAGGAGGUGUUAGUGGGAACGUGCCGGCCACUGGAUAGGAGGAGUGAGGGGGAACGUGCCGGCCACUGGAUAGGAGGUGUUAGUGGGAACGUGCCGCCCACUGGAUAGGAGGAGUGAGUGGGAACGUACCGGCCACUGGAUAGGAGGAGUGAGUGGGAACGUGCCGGCCACUGGAUAGGAGGUGUUAGUGGGAACGUGCCGGCCACUGGAUAGGAGUAGUGAGUGGGAACGUGCCGGCCACUGGAUAGGAGGAGUGAGUGGGAACGUACCGGCCACUGGAUAGGAGGAGUGAGUGGGAACGUGCCGGCCACUGGAUAGGAGGUGUGAGUGGGAACGUACCGGCCACUGGAUAGGAGGUGUGAGUGGGAACGUACCGGCCACUGGAUAGGAGGUGUUAGUGGGAACGUACCGGCCACUGGAUAGGAGGUGUUAGUGGGAACGUACCGGCCACUGGAUAGGAGGUGUUAGUGGGAACGUACCGGCCACUGGAUAGGAGGUGUUAGUGGGAAUGUACCGGCCACUGGAUAGGAGGAGUGAGUGGGAACGUUCGGCCACUGGAUAGGAGGUGUUAGUGGGAACGUGCCGGCCACUGGAUAGGAGGUGUGAGUGGGAACGUACCGGCCACUGGAUAGGAGGAGUGAGUGGGAACGUGCCGAUAGGAGGAGUGAGUGGGAACGUACCGGCCACUGGAUAGGAGGAGUGAUGGGAGUCAUGCUGUGUUUUCUUUGAUAAUGUAUUGAAUGUGAGGUUUGGAUGCAUGCCGUGCAGGUCAGUAUAAGACCAACUGUAACAGUAUCUAACGUUGUGGCUUGCGAGACACAGCUACAGCAAGUCUGCCUACCCAGGAACUACAGAUGGAAAGUAUUGGAGUUGGUCUGGACUUAUGUCGGCUAUUGCUGUUGAGGAGC
rnacentral:lncRNA from 1 species